AGUGAACGCUGGCGGUAGGCCUAACACAUGCAAGUCGAACGGCAGCACAGUAAGAGCUUGCUCUUACGGGUGGCGGGUGGCGGACGGGUGAGGAAUACAUCGGAAUCUACUUUUUCGUGGGGGAUAACGUAGGGAAACUUACGCUAAUACCGCAUACGACCUACGGGUGAAAGCAGGGGAUCUUCGGACCUUGCGCGAUUGAAUGAGCCGAUGUCGGGUUAGCUAGUUGGCGGGGUAAAGGCCCACCAAGGCGAGGAUCCGUAGCUGGUCUGAGAGGAUGAUCAGCCACACGGGAACUGAGACACGGUCCAGACUCCUACGGGAGGCAGCAGUGGGGAAUAUUGGACAAUGGGCGCAAGCCUGAUCCAGCCAUACCGCGUGGGUGAAGAAGGCCCUCGGGUUGUAAAGCCCUUUUGUUGGGAAAGAAAAGCAGCAGGUUAAUACCCCGCUGUUCUGACGGUACCCAAAGAAUAAGCACCGGCUAACUUCGUG
rnacentral:rRNA from 1 species